rnacentral:rRNA from 1 species
CCUAUGGGUGGCAGCAGUGGGGAAUAUUGCACAAUGGGGGGAACCCUGAUGCAGCGACGCCGCGUGAGUGAAGAAGUCUUUCGGUAUGUAAAGCUCUAUCAGCAGGGAAGAAAAUGACGGUACCUGCCUAAGAAGCCCCCGCUAACUACGUGCCAGCAGCCGCGGUAAUACGUAGGGGGCAAGCGUUAUCCGGAUUUACUGGGUGUAAAGGGAGCGCAGACGGCUGUGCAAGUCUGGAGUGAAAGGCGGGGGCACAACCCCCGGACUGCUUUUGAAACUGUAAAGCUGGAGUGCAGGAGAGGUAAGCGGAAUUCCUAGUGUAGCGGUGAAAUGCGUAGAUAUUAGGAGGAACACCAGUGGCGAAGGCGGCUUACUGGACUGCAACUGACGUUGAGGCGCGAAAGCGUGGGGAGCAAACAGGAUUAGAUACCCUUGUAGUC